rnacentral:lncRNA from 1 species
CUCCCCUUAUUUUAUCUGUGUACAAGGUUUAGUCACCAUGUAACCUCAAGAUUACAAAAUUUUCUAUAGAAAUCCCAAAUAAAAAAUAAUGGUGUUUUGAAAUACCCAAGACAUAUGUUUAUGACACAGAAAUGGUUUUACUGCAAUAAAAUGUAGGAUUAAUUACCUACAACUGUCAAAUUCAAGGGAAUAUUUUUUUCAACCUACUUUCGUAUACAACCGGAUGUGACGUACCAUGAUUUGGUGGUAUUACACCUUU